GGUUAACUACAAAAUCCAUGGGAGCGCCGCCAAAACAUAGUACUAUUUAUGAUUUAUUAUAAUAGAUUCAAGAAGCAUAUGACAGAUGGAGAAACGGUCAACGUACCCCUGAUCCUGACCCCGAUCAAGAUACAUGAAUGAAAACCUAAUGGAAAUGAAGAAUAACAUCAUUGACACUUUCGGAUGGACCUCUGCACAGAACAAAGUGAACGGGCUUAAGCGGAAUAUGUUGCA